CUUAACACAUGCAAGUCGAACGGUAAAGUAGCUUGCUACUUACGAGUGGCGGACGGGUGAGUAACGUAUGGGAAUUUACCGAAUGGAGGGGGACAACAGUUGGAAACGGCUGCUAAUACCGCAUAACGUCGAGAGACCAAAGGGUUUCGACUUGCCAUUUGAUGAGCCCAUAUGAGAUUAGCUAGUUGGUGUGGUAAUGGCUCACCAAGGCGACGAUCUCUAGCUGGUUUGAGAGGAUGACCAGCCACACUGGGACUGAGACACGGCCCAGACUCCUACGGGAGGCAGC
rnacentral:rRNA from 1 species